UUCCGUAGGGGGUAACCUGCGGAGGGAUCAUUACCGAGUUUACAACUCCCAAACCCAAUGUGAACGUUACCAAUCUGUUGCCUCGGCGGGAUUCUCUGCCCCGGGCGCGUCGCAGCCCCGGAUCCCAUGGCGCCCGCCGGAGGACCAACUCAAACUCUUUUUUCUCUCCGUCGCGGCCUACGUCGCGGCUCUGUUUUAUUUUUGCUCUGAGCCUUUCUCGGCGACCCUAGCGGGCGUCUCGAAAAUGAAUCAAAACUUUCAACAACGGAUCUCUUGGUUCUGGCAUCGAUGAAGAACGCAGCGAAAUGCGAUAAGUAAUGUGAAUUGCAGAAUUCAGUGAAUCAUCGAAUCUUUGAACGCACAUUGCGCCCGCCAGUAUUCUGGCGGGCAUGCCUGUCCGAGCGUCAUUUCAACCCUCGAACCCCUCCGGGGGGUCGGCGUUGGGGAUCGGCCCCUCACCGGGCCGCCCCCGAAAUACAGUGGCGGUCUCGCCGCAGCCUCUCCUGCGCAGUAGUUUGCACACUCGCACCGGGAGCGCGGCGCGGCCACAGCCGUAAAACACCCCAAACUCUGAAAUGUUGACCUCGGAUCAUGUAGUAUUGACCCGCUGAACUUAAGCAUAUCAAUAAGCGGAGGAA
rnacentral:rRNA from 1 species